rnacentral:rRNA from 1 species
GGUUAACGCUGGCGGCGUGCCUAACACAUGCAAGUCGAACGGUUCUAAGCGCGAGCUUAGGAUAGUGGCGAACGGGUGAGUAAAAGGUAGGAAUCUACCCCUUGGACGGAGAUAGCUACUGGAAACGGUAGGUAAACUUCGAUAAGCCCGAGAGGGGAAAGUGGUGAGACAGCCGAGGGAUGAGCCUACUCUCCAUCAGGUAGUUGGUGAGAUAAAAGCUUACCAAGCCGAUGACGGAUAACCGGUGUGAGAGCAUGAACGGUCACAAGGGCACUGAGAGACGGGCCCUACUCCUACGGGAGGCAGCAGUGGGGAAUCUUGGACAAUGGGCGAAAGCCUGAUCCAGCGACGCCGCGUGGAGGAAGAAGUCCUUCGGGAUGUAAACUUCUGAACUAGCCGAAUAAAAGGCCUGUGGACACACAGGAGAAGAAAGUAGGCUAGGAAAAGUCCCGGCUAACUACGUGCCAGCAGCCGCGGUAAGACGUAGGGGGCAAGCGUUACCCGGAAUUACUGGGCGUAAAGGGGGCGUAGGCGGUAAAAGAAGUCAUCUGUGAAAACCUAUUGCUCAACGAUAGGCUAGCGGAUGAAACUGAAUUACUUGAGGGCACCAGAGGUAGACGGAAUUACCCGAGUAGGGGUGAAAUCCGCAGAUACGGGUAGGAACGCCGGUGGAGAAGUCGGUCUACUGGGGUGCACCAGACGCUGAGGCCCGAAAGCUAGGGGAGCAAACCGGAUUAGAUACCCGGGUAGUCCUAGCCGUAAACGAUGCUCACUAGGUGUAGGGAGUGAUAAACUCUCUGUGCUGAAGCGAACGCGCUAAGUGAGCCGCCUGGGGAGUACGUCCGCAAGGAUGA